AGUGAACGCUGGCGGUAGGCCUAACACAUGCAAGUCGAACGGCAGCACAGUAAGAGCUUGCUCUUACGGGUGGCGAGUGGCGGACGGGUGAGGAAUACAUCGGAAUCUACUUUUUCGUGGGGGAUAACGUAGGGAAACUUACGCUAAUACCGCAUACGACCUACGGGUGAAAUCAGGGGAUCUUCGGACCUUUCGCGAUUGAAUGAGCCGAUGUCGGAUUAGCUAGUUGGCGGGGUAAAGGCCCACCAAGGCGACGAUCCGUAGCUGGUCUGAGAGGAUGAUCAGCCACACUGGAACUGAGACACGGUCCAGACUCCUACGGGAGGCAGCAGUGGGGAAUAUUGGACAAUGGGCGCAAGCCUGAUCGAGCCACACCGCGUGGGUGAAGAAGGUCUUCGGGUUGUAAAGCCCUUUUGUUGGGAAAGAAAAGCAGCAGGUUAAUACCCCGCUGUUCUGACGGUACCCAAAGAGUAAGCACCGGCUAACUUCGUG
rnacentral:rRNA from 1 species